rnacentral:rRNA from 1 species
AGUGAACGCUGGCGGUAGGCCUAACACAUGCAAGUCGAACGGCAGCACAGGAGAGCUUGCUCUCUGGGUGGCGAGUGGCGGACGGGUGAGGAAUACAUCGGAAUCUACUCUGUCGUGGGGGAUAACGUAGGGAAACUUACGCUAAUACCGCAUACGACCUACGGGUGAAAGCAGGGGACCUUCGGGCCUUGCGCGAUUGAAUGAGCCGAUGUCGGAUUAGCUAGUUGGCGGGGUAAAGGCCCACCAAGGCGACGAUCCGUAGCUGGUCUGAGAGGAUGAUCAGCCACACCGGAACUGAGACACGGUCCAGACUCCUACGGGAGGCAGCAGUGGGGAAUAUUGGACAAUGGGCGCAAGCCUGAUCCAGCCACACCGCGUGGGUGAAGAAGGCCUUCGGGUUGUAAAGCCCUUUUGUUGGGAAAGAAAUCCAGCUGGCUAAUACCCGGUUGGGAUGACGGUACCCAAAGAAUAAGCACCGGCUAACUUCGUGCCAGCCGCCGCGGUAA